rnacentral:rRNA from 1 species
AGAGUUUGAUCCUGGCUCAGAACGAACGUUAGCGGCGCGCCUAACACAUGCAAGUCGCACGAGAAAGGGCUUCGGCCCCGGUACAGUGGCGCACGGGUGAGUAACACGUAGGUAAUCUUCCCUCGAGUGGGGGAUAACUCCUCGAAAGGGGGGCUAAUACCGCAUGAGACCACGUUCUCGAAAGGGGAUGAGGUCAAAGCGGGCCUCUGCAAGCAAGCUCGCGCUUGAGGAUGAGCCUGCGGCCCAUCAGCUAGUUGGUAGGGUAACGGCCUACCAAGGCGAAGACGGGUAGCUGGUCUGAGAGGAUGAUCAGCCACACUGGAACUGAGACACGGUCCAGACUCCUACGGGAGGCAGCAGUGGGGAAUUUUGCGCAAUGGGCGAAAGCCUGACGCAGCGACGCCGCGUGAGUGAUGAAGGCCUUCGGGUUGUAAAGCUCUGUGGGGAGGGAAGAAUAAGGGGCGGCUAAUACCCGCACCGAUGACGGUACCUCCUUAGCAAGCACCGGCUAACUCUGUGCCAGCAGCCGCGGUAAGACAGAGGGUGCAAACGUUGUUCGGAAUUACUGGGCGUAAAGCGCGUGUAGGCGGUCUAGCAAGUCGGAUGUGAAAGCCCUUUGGCUCAACUGUGGAAGUGCAUUCGAAACUGCGAGACUUGAGUCCCGGAGAGGAUGGGGGAAUUCUCGGUGUAGAGGAGAAAUUCGUUGAUAUCGAGAAGAAUACCGGUGGCGAAGGCGGCCAUCUGGACGGUGACUGACGCUGAGACGUGAAAGCAUGGGGAGCAAACAAAAUUCGUUGCCCUGGUGGUCCCUGCCGUCCGCGACCCAUUAAUAGAAGUCGCGGGGCA